GGGCUUUAGCUCAGUGGUAGAGCAUGUGGUUUGUACCCAAAAGGUCCCAGAUUCAAUCCUCAGCAUCUCUAGGAAGUAAUA